AAACGUAGUCUGGCAAGUAACAGGCGAUCUCCACAGAGGAAAUGCUGCCAGCUCAUAACACCGGAUGUAAUUAAGACCACAAGAGACACACACUUGGUUAUAAAUGCUGAACUUAGAGGUUACCUAGGAGACUUCAGGUGAUUGACAUGGGGUGGGCAUACAGCUCCAGCAAGGAAAAGAUACUGAGAUUUCCGAAUGGCUAGCUGAGUUCUCUUGGGGAGGAAUUGUGUAUGUUUUCAGCAGCAUUGAAAGAAUUCAGAAGUCAAGAGUACUCUGUGCUCCUCGUAAGAGACCCUGGGGGAAAUAGAGUUAGAGAAAUCCAUUGUUCAUGCAGACGAAAGACAAUCUAUGAAGGAUCAAUGCUUUCCCAUAACUGGGAACAUAAAGGACUCUUCUCUUAGGAAGCCUUCUUCUCGAGGUUUCACCUCCUGAAAGAAGACAGAUCCAACAUCCCCAGCCUCAUACAAGAGGAACGAUGUUAACAGCUAAACUAAUCAAGAUCCCUGACUUCAGGAGGCUCUUACCUCAGCUCUACCAUCAAUCAUGUGAUCUAACUGAUCUUCCGGAUGUCAACUCCCAAGCAAGGGAAUGAGAAGUCUCUCAGGAAGGAUCUCUGUAUACUACCUUCUUCUCCAGCUGAUGUCAUCUCAAUAUUCGUAGUGUCUAUACACCAUGCUCUAGAAAACAAGAAACAGACCUGGCUGGAGCAUCUGGCUGCUCUGUGUCAGACAUUUCCAAGCCUGCUGUGA
rnacentral:lncRNA from 1 species